AUGUUGUACUGUUAUGCCACUGUCCCAGGUUAGGGGGAGGGUUGGGAUCCCGCUACAAUGUUUAACCCCGCCACAUUAUUUAUGUAUGUGCCUGUCCCAAGUCAGGAGCCUGUAUAUUCAGUGGUUGUCGUUUGUUUAUGUGUUACAUAUUUGUUUUUCGUUCAUUUUUUUACAUAAAUAAGGCCGUUGGUUUUCUCGUUUGAAUUGUUUUACAUUGUCUUAUCGGGGCCUUUUAUAGCUGACUAUGCGGCAUGGGCUUUGCUCAUUGUUGAAGGCCGUACGGUGACCUAUAGUUGUUAAUGUCUGUGUCAUUUUGGUCUUUUGUGGAUAGUAGUCUCAUUGGCAAUCAUACCACAUCUUCUUUUUUUAUAU
rnacentral:lncRNA from 1 species